rnacentral:rRNA from 1 species
AAGAGACAGCAGUAGCCACGGGAAUACGGAGGGUGCAAGCGUUAAUCGGAAUUACUGGGCGUAAAGCGCACGCAGGCGGUCUGACAAGUCAGAUGUGAAAUCCCCGGGCUUAACCUGGGAACUGCAUUUGAAACUGUCAGGCUGGAGUCUUGUAGAGGGGGGUAGAAUUCCAGGUGUAGCGGUGAAAUGCGUAGAGAUCUGGAGGAAUACCGGUGGCGAAGGCGGCCCCCUGGACAAAGACUGACGCUCAGGUGCGAAAGCGUGGGGAGCAAACAGGAUUAGAUACCCCAGUAGUCCCUGUCUCUUAUAC